rnacentral:lncRNA from 1 species
GCAGCUCAUAAAGCGACAACCAAGUCCAUAUCAAACUGCUAAAUAAUUGCAAUAACAAAAUUAAUUGUGAUGUUACUUAUCCAAAGUUGGAUUAACCUCUCUAUUUCACACUCUAAUUUCUGGUUGGAUCACCACGUAUUUUCACAUUCUUUAUUCACAGAUUUUUUCUUACUCGCUACAAUUUGAUUUUGGCUUCUACGAGCUACAUAGAAUUUUGUUAGAGCAGGAUACAUUAUUGUUGUUGUUUACGUUCUCCACGUCCUUAGCCCUUCUGACGAUUUGAAUGAAACCAAAGCACUUAAUUCUUCAUUAUUGCUUUCCUCUUACUAUUUCACCAAACCAUAAACCAACCCACCUUCUCCUUAAAAAAAAUAUAUAAAAUACUUAAAAUUAAAAAAAAAAAGAGAGAGAAAGAAUCAGCAGUCCACAAACACACACAUUCUCUUUCACUAGAAGAUAAAAACCAACAGUGAGAAAAAUCAAGAACAAAAACGCGUAAUGUAUAGUAAUAAUUAAAACAACCGAUGUCUAUUAUGAAAUGAGCAAAAUUAAAGUCAAGUUUACACGUUAGAUGGUUGACUUAAAUUUUUGAAAUGAAUAAUAAUAAUAGUAAUUCCAAGAACUAAAACAAGCAACUACCGCAGUACAGCGAAUGACGUUAUCUGAAAAUAAAAAUCAUUUAACACAUUAAUUAAACUAAAAAAUAAAAAAGAAAUGGUAGUGUAGGACAACUUGAAGGAACCGACACACACGUAUACACGAGAAAUAUUAAGUUGAAAAGGUAGAAAAUAUUGAGAAAAUAAAAAUAGAUAGAUUCGAUAAUUCUAAAUAUAUAUGCAUGAAUAAAAAAGGAAAAGGAAAAUUUGGUUUGGACACGGUAACAGUGUUCUCUCACCAAAGAGGUCGCAUUCUGGAGUCGCCAGUUUUCAACUCACAACAACCUUCUUUUUAAACGAUGGAUUGAUCCAUUUGAGAUGCAUUCACUCUCACUCACGCGCCUUCGCUGUGUUUCCUUGUUUUCUUUCUCUCGUUCCGUGGGAACCGCUUCCUUGUCUCCUUCUUCAAUUUCUCCCUUUCUUGCAAUUUCAGUCUUAUAAUAACAAUGACUCUGUAUUAUUCCUAACCUAAAUUAAACCUAGUCUUCUGUUCUGUUCCGUUGCAUUUCACUGUUCUCCAAAAACAACCAUGCCGUUUCCCUGGAAGAAGAACCGCGUCCCUCGAAUCUCCCAAAUCGUCGCGGAUCUCCAAUCGCCAAAACGAGGCGGCUCCCUCGUCGUCGAGACCGGCUUCCCCACCUCCCUCAUCGACCUCUUCGUAAAAAACCGAAGCCGUUUUAGAAAACACCGCACAAAAAAACCGCCACCGCCCGAAGUCCCCGAUCCGCCGCCGCCGCCUCCCUCUCCGGCCAACUCUCCGCCGCCGCCGCCGUCGCAACCCGAUCCUCGUCUCCCGAACCCUCGGACUGAACAGAACGUCGUCGCUUCGGUUUCGGAUCAGGUCGGGGAGUGCUCUUUGAACGUUAUUUUAGUUGUGAAGAUUCUGAUGGUGCUGAUUGUGGUCGCGAGCGUGAAGAGGCUCACCGUGGGAAUCACCGUGUCGACGUUCGCGCUUCUGCUUCUAGAAUACGCGGGGCGGCGCGUGGUUUCGGGUUCCGUUGUGGAAUCGUGGUUCCGGAAGGUUCGGGUUCUGAAGAAGGAGCGUGUUCGGGGGAGUGGAUUAACUGACUUGAGUCAAUUGACCUUUUCCGAGAGUUUUUUAAUUGAUGAAAUUGAGGUUGUGAGUGAUGUGGGGAUUUGUUGUCAAAUGCGUUCUGUCAGUGGUGACGUGGCAUCAGAAAUAGUUGAGGAUUGUUCUUCAGAUGUUCUUGAAGUUUCUGAAUACAAGAUUAAAGGGAGUAGAAGUGGUAGGUUUGGGUCGAGGAUGGUGAAGAAGCUUGUGCCUAAGAAGUUUCGUGCCCCCAGGAAAGAAAAAAAGGAUAAGGGGAAUAAGGAAAUUGAGUAUGAAUCGGGUAGUGAAGUUUCCAGCGCCGUGGAAGAUGAUAAGUUACCCAUGUUAGAAAUUGAAGAGGAAGAUAAGAGCGAGAAUACUGAACAAGCUGAGGUUGAUUGUGGCAUCACUUGUUCCUAUAAUGGAAAGAGAGUGGCCAGAGUUGGGAAUUCAGGUUCUUCCACGGUUAUGGUUCUAGUUAUGAUUGUCCUUGUUGGACUUCUUCUGGGUCGUUUCCCAGCUUUGAUGCUUUCAAUUUCAUGGUGUUGCACGAUGAAAAUAGUUAGAACAUUACGGAGAUCACUCAGAGUGUCUCUGAAGAAGUGCUCUGUUUCAAACUCUUGA